ensembl:rRNA 5S_rRNA 5S ribosomal RNA
CCUGGCAGCUAGCUCUCUGCAACUCUCAAAUGGUUGCCCACUGAAGCUAAGCUGGGCUGCGCAAAGCCAGUAACUGGAUGGGUGACCACUUGGGAAAGCUAGGUUGAUGCCGGAA